rnacentral:rRNA from 1 species
CCAUUAUGCCUAGCCCUAAAUCUUGAUGCUUACCACACCAAAGCAUCCGCCCGAGAACUACGAGCACAAACGCUUAAAACUCUAAGGACUUGGCGGUGCCCCAAACCCACCUAGAGGAGCCUGUUCUAUAAUCGAUAAUCCACGAUUCACCCAACCACCCCUCGCCAGAGGCAGCCUACAUACCGCCGUCGCCAGCCCACCUUCCCUGAAAGUCCCACAGUGAGCAUAACAGCCCAAAUCCGCUAAUAAGACAGGUCAAGGUAUAGCCCAUGGGGUGGAAGAAAUGGGCUACAUUUUCUAUAAUAGAAAACCCACGAAAGGGGGCGUGAAAUGGUCCCCGGAAGGCGGAUUUAGCAGUAAAGCGGGAUAAUAAAGCCCUCUUUAAGUUGGCUCUGGGGCACGUACAUACCGCCCGUCACCCUCCUCACAAGCCACCAACAUCCAUAAUUAAUAAGCUUCAUGGCUGAAGAUGAGGUAAGUCGUAACAAGGUAAGUGUACCGGAAGGUGCACUUAGUAUAC